rnacentral:lncRNA from 1 species
UAUAAAACAAUAAUUAAAAUAUCAACAUUUAAAAAGUUUGUUGUUUAAAAAGAUUGUACUACAUGUGUGUGUGUACAUAUGAAAAAUGUAUAUGUUGAUCACUAUUUUAAUGGAAAUUUCGGAGUCGAUAUGAUAAUGUUUUGCAAUCAAAUAAUAUAAAGUCUCAAAAGUCUCCGAUAAAAAUGUGGUCUUCAUAUACCUUAUAUAUAUUUGUGUGUGACUGGGGCAAGACUUUGUUCUUUGAUUUGAUCUUGGUAGAAUUGGCUCACUAUUUUAGGAAAAUUACGUAGUACUCUUGUAGCAAUUUUUAUUACCAACAAAUAUUUUUGUUCGCUUUCAGUUAUUGGACGAUAAUACUAGGGGUGCUUAAUGUUAUUCGCUUACAUAAUAUCAGUUUGUAGCCAUUAGCUUGACAUGCAUUCACCUGUUAGUUUCCCUUUUACCUAGACACAAUUGGCUUUUGUUUUGAAAUUAAGAGAUUUAAUCUUGUUUAAUUAAUUAUUUUUCAACUUCAGUUUCUACGAAGCACAUGAUGUGGGGGUAGUUUGCAAACUGAUAAUUAAUAUUCCUUCCGUCCCCUUUUACAUUUCCAUUUUGAUAUUUAAGAAGUCAAAUUGACCAAUUUUUGACUAAACAUUACAAAUUAUUUAUUAAUUAUUUAUAAUAUCUGAAAGUUGCAUAUGAAAAUAGACUCAAUAUACUUUCUGAAGAUAUAAUUUUUAUUAUUUUUUCCAAUAAUAUGACCAGUGUUAUUAAACACGAUAUGCGCAUCGAAGCGCAAAGGCCUUCCGGGGCAUAAGCGCAACGCGCGGAUUCAUCGAAAACAUGUAAAAUAUACAUAUAUAGACGUAUAUAUUGUAAAACAUUAUAUACUUAUAGAUAAUAAAACAUUAAUAAACAAAAGUCAGUUAUCAAAAAUCAUAAUGCAAGCAGGAUACAAAAAUUUAAAGCCUAGAAUAGUUUAAAGUCUAAAGGCAGAGUGGCAAAUAAAUGUGAAAUUAUCCACUAAAUCACUAAUCAUCUUCUUCAUCUUCAUCAAUAUUCACAAAAUCAUCUUCUUCUUCACUAUUUUGAUUUGGAUCUUCAACAAAUUAAAUUUCUUCUUCAUCCUCGUCCUCAUUCUCAACGAUUGCUUCAUCAAUCAAACGUCUUUUAGAUGAUGAUCCCAAAGUAGUAUGUUUCCCUUUUGAGGAUCCCACCAAGGCACGCGACCUAUUAUAAUAUAGAAUACACAAAUAAAUAUAAUUUUAAGUUAAUUUUUCAGAAUUUUAAGCGUUAGGAUUAAAUCUACAAAGUCCUAAGUGUUAAAUCUGACCUAGUAGAGUAACGAGCCUCUCCGGCUCCGGAGGCAAUUUCAACAUCUUUGUAUGUUAAUCCAUCCUCUUCGGAAAAAACAUACUCAUUCUCAUUAUUUUCACCAUCUUUGUCAAAACUUCCAACCAGCCAUUCAUUGCUUUCAUCAAUUUCAUUUAAUGAGAUAGGAUCAAUGAUGUUACGAAGUUCAUAUCUAUGCUUCAAAGCUCUAUUGUACUUGACAAACACCAAAUCAUUCAACUUUUGUUGUUCAAGUCGGUUCCUUUUUUUUGCUAUGAAGCUACAUAGAGUAAACAAACACUUUAGAGUCAUUAAUCUUAAAGAGACGUUUAAAAAGGUUGUUUAUAGUAACUUACAUGCUCAAAUACACUCCAAUUCCUCUCGCAUCCGGAUGAGCUACAUGUGAGACUAAGGAUCCGAAUCGCAAAAGUUUGCAAAUCCGGAGUGUGUUUUCCAUAAGCACCCCACCAGGCAGCUAUAAAACAGAUUAGAAUCGAUGAUUUUAACAAGAAUUCUGGGCAGAUUUUACUAACAACAGAAAGAAUUUUGGGGUCUGGGCAGAUUUUAGUCAAUUUACUAAUAGAACAGGGCAGAAUUUUAGAGGGCAGAUUGGCAGAAUUAGUUAAUGUGUACCUGGGGAUUUAGUUGUUCGUUGUCUAAUAGCCAUUGGCAAGCCAAACAAUCCUUCUGCUCUCUUGUAUAUCUCCAAUUGCUCUCCGAUUUUAUCUUGCACCGAGACAUCUGCAAUCAUUCGUUCAAUGCAUUUGUACAAUCCAACUGAGACCUCUUUAUCCUUCUCAAUCUCGGGAUUUUUGUAAUAAAAUUCCGGAUUAAGAUAGUAGCCAGCAGCGUGUAAAGGCUGAUGCAAUUGAAUAUCCCAUCUAUUGUCAAUAAUGUCAUAAUAUUCUUGGUAUCUCGCCUCAUUUUUGUUAAAAGCAUCUGCAAUUGCCUCUUUGGCUCUAUCCAUAGCCUCGUAUAUGUAGCCCAUAGGUGGUCUAUUCUCUCCAUCAACCAACCGAAGAACACCUACAAGAGGACCAGCCACUUUACAUGAACGAACGACACUAUUCCAAAAACUAGGCAUCAUCACGAUACUAGCAAUUUUCUUUCCAUUCGGUUCCUUGUAAUAGGGGCUGGUAAUCCAUCUUUGUGAAGUGAACAUCCGAAAAAGAUUUGCCUUUUGCUUACGGAUCCUAGACAAAGUGAGAAAGGCAGUGGAAAAUCGUGUCUUUGCUGGCCUAACUAACUCUUUGUGUGAAGUGAACUCUCUUAGCAUAUUCACCAUCCCACACUUUGAGUAUAUAAAGGAGUUCAAAGCCAUAGCAUUAUUGAUGCAGUUUUUAAACCUUGGAAUGGUGAAAAUGUCUUCCAAGAUGAGAUCAAUACAGUGUGCUGCACAAGGUGUCCAGAACAAAUGAGGAUAUCGUAUUGUCAACAUCCUACCUGCUGCCUUGUUAUUAGAAGCGCUAUCCGUGACAACUUGAACGACAUAUUGCGGCCCAAUCCUCUCGACGAACUUGGAAAUCAACUCAAAUAACAAAUCAGCUGUCUUUGCAACAGCAGAUGCAUCAACAGAUUCAAGAAAAAAGCUACCUCGCGGAGUGUUAACUAAGAAAUUGAUAAGAGUUCGCUUCUACCGAUCUUCCCAUCCAUCAUACAUGAUAGAACAACCACUCCUCACCCACUCUUCAUGUAAUUUCAUCAAAGUUCGUGUCUCCUCAACCUCGUCUUUCAAUAAUGGAACUCGUACUUCAUGGUAGCUAGGUGGCUUCAUUCCCGCUCCAUACUGCCCUUGAGCUUCAACGUACACCGGAAAACUCGGAUAAUUAACAGCAUUAAAUGGAAUUCCAGCAUCAUACAUCCACCUGGCAAAUGCUUUACAGGCCCUCUUUCUUAACUCCUUUCUUGCUGUGUCAUUUUCAUCUAUCCUUGGUUGCACUCCCUUUCUUUUCUUCACUACAAGCUCCGGAUCAGGUGUCAUGUAAAGAUCCAUAGGACCCUUAACCUUCAUUUUUGUAGAACUCCCAGCAGAUGGUUGAGCAGAUGGAUGAUGGCCUCGAGGCUGUGUAGGACAUCCUGUUUCACCAUCAUCAUCAGAAAAUUCAGGUUCAAAAUCAUCUAAAUUCAUAGUAUCUUUUGAUUUUUUUUUUGAUUCCAUGAAAGCUAUCACUUCCUGCCUGACUUCUUCAGAUACUUUUGUGCAACCUUUAGCAUUUCUUCUCCCUCCCAUGAGAUGCUCUUUCAUUCUAAAUACUCCACCCGUUGUAACUUUGCCACAAAAAUUACAACGGAGUCGAACGCUGUUCCCUUCCACUACUGUAGCAGAAUAUUUCCAGGCAACAUCCUUUGAUUUAUCACUCAUCUUGCUGAAAUCUAACCAAGUGCAGAAGAAAGAAAAGAUGUAUCAACUAAAGAAAGCAGCCCAGAAUCAGAAUCGGUGAAAGAAGGAAAGAAGAUGUCUAUAUAUAUGUAUGUAUAUAGAAGAAUAAGAAGAUAAGGUAUAUGUAUGUAUAUCCUAUGUAAUUAAGAGAGAGAGAGAGAGAGAGAGAUAACUAUCAAAGAGAGUCCAGAAGAAGAAAGGAUAAUUAAAAGAAAGAUAAUUAUCAGAAGAGAGUCCAGAAUAAGAAGGGGAGUGUAAGUAAAAGAAAGAUAAUUACCAGAGAGAUCCAGAGGAAGAAAGAAGUAAAUUUGCCCUAGGUAUCUUUGUUUCUCGGCCGCUGAGCAGUGCUUUUAGGGUUUUUUUAUGACCCAUGUCUAUUUAAAAAGCUUAGUCAAUGGCCCAGUUAAGCUAGUCAACAGCCCAGUCAACUAUUACACAAAAGCGCGCUUUUUUUGCGCUUCUCGCAUCUCGCUUAAUCCCUGGAAGCGCAGAAAAGCGCUCGCAUCAUUGAACUCGCAUCGCAUAUACUAAGCGAUGCGCAUAAGCUGCGCAUAAGCGCGCUUCUCGCUUAUGCGCGCGCAUAAGCGCGCUUUUAAUAACACUGAAUAUGAUGUAUGUAAAUUAUAGUUAAAAUAUAGGUAAUUUGACUGGUCAAAA